CUUAAAUUACACAUGCAAGUCUCAGCACGCCCGUGAGGAUACCCUUAUACCCUUAACCAGACUAAGGAGCUGGCAUCAGGCAUACAACCCAUAACGCCUAGUCCCACCACACCCACAAGGGCAUUCAGCAGUGAUAAAUAUUGCCUAUGAGCGACAGCUUGACUCAGUUAAAGAAAAUAGAGCCGGCCAACUCGGUGCCAGCCGCCGCGGCUAAACCGCACGGGCUCAAACUGAUAUCGUCGGCGUUAAGCGUGAUUAAAGUCCUUCUACCACUAGAAUAAAACCUACACUUAGCCGUGAAAAGCUUGAUGCUAGAGAAAAUCACAAACGAAAGUUAUUCUAGAAAAUUACUUGAAUACACGACAGCUAAA
rnacentral:rRNA from 1 species